CUGGAACUGGCAUUGUACUAACCGCAUUAGGAAUCUUCAUUCUGGGAUACUUGCCGACUGACCAAAUCACUGGCAUACUCAUCAUCACACGUGUGUAGCUGACUUACACUGUGUUUAUACUGUCUUCUGAGGAGAGUUGGCAGUUAAAUGCAAUGGCAGAUUUACCCCAUGGACCGUUUUGAGGGCGAGAGGCUGUAUCAGCUCGCUCGUCAGUAUUGAUUUUACCCAGAGUAAGCAGAUGGAUGAGGAGCUUAAAUGUAAAGAAAGAAAGACAGUACUCGGAAGAUGGUGGCAGAGGCAACCUACCUCGGGAAACUGGUGGUGUUCCUGUGCUCACUGCUCUGCUAAUGCCGACUGCUGCAAAGAAGGGGGCCUUUGAACGUCUCGAUGUGUCGAGCUGUGGAAUUACAAUUCAUGAAUUGAAAGCUUUGAAAACAUUGCCAUCCCCGAGAUGGUGUUUCAUCAACAAAAGACCAAGACUGGCCGGACUGAACUCUCAACUUCCCAUUUGGCAACCAUUGAUGUCACUUAUCUCCUUGAGGAAGGUGCAGGGCGGCGCCUGCGGCGGCGGGCGCUCGGAUUCAGCGACUUCGUAGGCAGAAAAUAAUGUUUCUACGUGCCUGUCAAGCACACUGCCUUUCACUGUCAUGAGCAAGGGGCAGAAAAUGGAGAGACAGCAAGAAGGGAAAUGAGCAUUGUUGGUUUUCCAGCCAUUAAGGACCACAAUGCAUCCCUGGGGGCCUCUUCCAGUUUACCUCUUCCAAGACUGUUGUCUCAGCUCUGAGAGGGGUGGAGGGUGUUUGGAAGCACUGACUUCAGAAGCUCUCAAGGAGCACAAAGAGAGAGCUGACCCAGGCUUCUUGCUUAUUUAAGUAGUAUGAUGCAAAAACUUUCUUUUUUUAAAAAAAAAGAAGAAAGAAAAGAAAAAUAAAACGAACAUAGGAGUUGUAACCCAUGCACUUAAAUGCAUCGAACAUUGAAAACAUGGGUAGACGAAUUCCACUAGCAAGCAUCUGUAAUGAAAUAAGUGGUACUGAAUGAGGAUGGAUAGAGGGGGAGGGAUGGAUUAAUGAUUCAGUCUGUGGGGGGAUAUGAAUGCUGGAGAAUUGUUCCCCCUAGUGGAACCUAGCUGCAAUGAAACAAAUGUAAGGGAUGAGAGAAGAACUGCCCAGGGGCUGUGGGGUGGGGGUAGGAAUGGCAUAGGAGAAAUGUAAAGUUGAGCGGUGUGCUCAGAUGCUGCUCGUGAGAAAGAGAGAACAAGGGUGGUGAACUGCACUUUUGGUACCAUGGAUAUUGUGAAGCUCUCUGUAAUGUAUCUAUAAUGAAAACACACUAACACUCUCACAGUAUUGGAUGAUGCAGUCUGGAAGAAAAAAAAAGAAGCAAGUCUAUUAUCUCUUUCCUGUUAUACUGUAGUAACUCAUUUAGGAACAGAAGAGGCCUGUGGUGUGUUUGUUUUAUUAGAGUAAAGGGAGGGGGUUUGGGAAGAUGGAGCGUGUGCGCUUUUGUCAGUAAAAGUGUCUUGUUUAUUUUUGAAUCGUCUCGUGAGGCAGUCCGCUUCGCGAUGGUUUGGGGAUGGGGGGAGUGUAGCGGUUUGUUUUUUUUUUUUUUUUUUUUUGUGAAGUAAAGCAUAAUUCGCCAGCUUAACUAAAUCAGGCG
rnacentral:lncRNA from 1 species